ensembl:misc_RNA 7SK 7SK RNA
GCAUGUGAAAGCAGUCUGGCUGGGACAUCUGUCACCACAUUGAUCAAUAGGGGUGAUUGGGCUAUUGACUGGAUGACUGGCUGGAUUAGUACACUCUUUCUCCCUUACCACAGCCUGUGCAUCUCUUUUGAAGCUGCAUACACACUGAAAGAUAGUGAACUUCCCAGAUAGAAGAGGAUCUUUUUCAGUCAUAACAAAAACCAAAGCAGUUGCCAUCGAAUUGAUUGCAAC